GAGAUACUAGGUCAGAAGAGAAGCUUCUAACUUCAAUUCAAGCGGUUAAACUCCGUUUGUGUCUCU
rnacentral:tRNA from 1 species